GGUGGCUCAGUGGUAGAGUACUUGCCUUGCAUCCAUGAGGCCCUGGGUUCGAUUCCUCAGCACCA
rnacentral:tRNA from 1 species